rnacentral:rRNA from 1 species
UUAAUUCGAUGCAACGCGAAGAACCUUACCUGGUCUUGACAUCCACAGAACUUUCCAGAGAUGGAUUGGUGCCUUCGGGAACUGUGAGACAGGUGCUGCAUGGCUGUCGUCAGCUCGUGUUGUGAAA